UACGAAGGGGGCUAGCGUUGCUCGGAAUGACUGGGCGUAAAGGGCGCGUAGGCGGAUGGCACAGUCAGAUGUGAAAUUCCCGGGCUUAACCUGGGGGCUGCAUUUGAUACGUGUGAUCUAGAGUGAGGAAGAGGGUCGUGGAAUUCCCAGUGUAGAGGUGAAAUUCGUAGAUAUUGGGAAGAACACCGGUGGCGAAGGCGGCGACCUGGUCUUGACUGACGCUGAGGCGCGAAAGCGUGGGGAGCAAACAGG
rnacentral:rRNA from 1 species